rnacentral:rRNA from 1 species
GUACGAAUAAGGAUCGGCUAACUCCGUGCCAGCAGCCGCGGUAAUACGGAGGAUCCAAGCGUUAUCCGGAUUUAUUGGGUUUAAAGGGUGCGUAGGCGGUUUGAUAAGUUAGAGGUGAAAUUUCGGGGCUCAACCCUGAACGUGCCUCUAAUACUGUUGAGCUAGAGAGUAGUUGCGGUAGGCGGAAUGUAUGGUGUAGCGGUGAAAUGCUUAGAGAUCAUACAGAACACCGAUUGCGAAGGCAGCUUACCAAACUAUAUCUGACGUUGAGGCACGAAAGCGUGGGGAGCAAACAGGAUUAGAUACCCUGGUAGUCCACGCAGUAAACGAUGAUAACUCGUUGUCGGCGAUACACAGUCGGUGACUAAGCGAAAGCGAUAAGUUAUCCACCUGGGGAGUACGUUCGCAAGAAUGAAACUCAAAGGAAUUGACGGGGGCCCGCACAAGCGGAGGAACAUGUGGUUUAAUUCGAUGAUACGCGAGGAACCUUACCCGGGCUUGAAAGUUAGCGACGAUUCUUGAAAGAGGAUUUCCCUUCGGGGCGCGAAACUAGGUGCUGCAUGGUUGUCGUCAGCUCGUGCCGUGAGGUGUCGGGUUAAGUCCCAUAACGAGCGCAACCCCUACCGUUAGUUGCCAUCAGGUCAAGCUGGGCACUCUGGCGGGACUGCCGGUGUAAGCCGAGAGGAAGGUGGGGAUGACGUCAAAUCAGCACGGCCCUUACGUCCGGGGCUACACA